rnacentral:lncRNA from 1 species
CAACUUAGGACUGAUUUCUUAGAUUAAUACUCUCCUUUUGUUUCUUAUGAGAGGAUAUACAAGUACAUAGUUUCUGAAGGAUCGGUUAAUGAAAAAUAUGAGUAAAGUAGUUGGGAGGAUGUACUUUUUUGUUAUUUUAAAUUGCUAUUUUUAGAUAUUUUGAUUUGAUCAUACGUGAUUUGGUCAAUUUUGAUCUGCAGUGGGAGGAUCGUCAGUAGAAAGGCCUCUUUUGCUAGGAUGUCACCGCUUGCGAAACCAAGGUUGAUUAUCAUUACUCUUUUUUUUUUUUUUUUUUUUUUUGUUUUUUUUUUUUUUUUUUUUUUUUUUUUUUUUUUUGGUUAUUGUAAUUGAUAAGGUUUUUUUUUCCAGUUUUAGUUGUUGCGUACACGUUCUGCUUUAGUUAUUGCCAGUUAGAUAGACUUGGUUGUAAAAAAGCUGGCUUGACAAAAUCUAUCUACGGGACUAUUCAAUGUAUUACUAUUAAUUGUUCAGAAGAUAAUACUUGUUCCGUCCAUAUUUACUUGUUCAUAUUUCACUUGACACACCCUUACG